AACGAAUCUUAGCUGUUAGUUUGGUGGUCUCCCGUAAUGUCUUCCCUCAUGAAUUUUACCUUUUCUGGGACCUAUUUAAUCUCUUUCUUGGCCCUUGCUACAUUUAGUUUUUCUUGUGUUCUCUCCCUUUUAUGUAACGAAUCUUAGCUGUUAGUUUUGCUAGUUUCCCAUAAUCUGUUCACUCACGAAUUCUGCCUCUUUCGGAACUUGGUAAGUCAUUCUUCUAGUUUUCCUUUUGUUCUCUUCCUGUUACGUAUCGAAUCUUAGGUGUUAGUUUUGCUAGUUUCCUGUAAUCUGUUCACUCAAAUUCUACCUCUGUCAGAACUUGGUUAAUCUUUCUUCCAGCUUUCCUUUUGUUCUCUUCCUGUUACGUAACAAAUCAUAGGUGUUAGUUUUGCUGGUUUCCCGUAAUCUGUUCACUCACAAAUUCUACCUCCUUCAGACCUUGGUUAAUCUUUCUUCCAGUCUUUCUCUUGUUCUCUUCCUGUUACGUAAUGAAUCUUAGGUGUUAGUUUUGAUGUUUUUCGUAAUGUCUUCACUCAGGAAUUUUAUGUUUUCUUGGUCUUCGUUAAUCUUUCAGUUUUCCUUUUGUUCUCUUCCUGUUAUGAAAUGAACCAUAGGUGUUAGUUUUGCUGUUUUUCGUAAUGUCUUCACUCACGAAUUCUACCUUUUCUGGGACUUGGUUAAUCUUUCUGUUACUUUUCGUUGAGUGUAGUUUUACAUGUGUUCUGUCUCUGUUACUUACCGAAUCAUAGGUCUUAAUUUUGCUGUUUUCCGUAAUAUUGUCCUUCACUAACUUUACCUCUUCUGGGACCUGGUUAAUCUUUUCCUAAGUUUUCGUUAACCUAAUCUUCCCUGUGUUCUCUCUCUCUUACUUACCGAAUCACAGGUCUCUUAGUUUUGCUGUUUUCUGUAAUAUUGUCCUUCACUAACUCUACCUCUUCUGGGACCUGGUUAAUCUUUUCCUAAGUUUUCAUUAACCUAAUCUUCCCUGUGUUCUCUCUCUCUUACUUACCGAAUCACAGGUUACUUAGUUUUGCUGUUUUUCGUAAUAUUUUCACUCACAAACUCUACCUUUUCCGGGACCUGGUAAAUCUUUCCCUCAGUUCCCCGCUAAGCUUCUAAACUAACUGCUUCUUUACCGCCUUUUGUUCAGCUUCCC